rnacentral:rRNA from 1 species
ACUUACUGCGUUAGCUGCGGCACGGAGGGUUUAACCCCUCCACACUUAGUACCCAUCGUUUAGGGCGUGGACUACCAGGGUAUCUAAUCCUGUUUGCUCCCCACGCUUUCGUCUCUCAGUGUCAGGACUGUUCCAGGAAGCCGCCUUCGCCACCGGCCUUCCUUCUGAUAUCUACGCAUUUCACCGCUACACCAGAAAUUCCGCUUCCCUCUCCCAGCCUCCAGCCUGCCAGUCUCUUUGGCAUUCCCAUAGUUAAGCUACGGCCUUUCACCAAAGACUUGACAAACCACCUACAGACUCUUUACGCCCAGUAAUUCCGAACAACGCUUGCCACCUCUGUCUUACCGCGGCUGCUGGCACAGAGUUAGCCGUGGCUUAUUCUCACGGUACCGUCAUCGGGGAUAUUUAUUUGAUAUCCCUUUUUCGUCCCGAGUAAAAGU